rnacentral:rRNA from 1 species
CCUACGGGAGGCAGCAGUAGGGAAUCUUCCGCAAUGGACGAAAGUCUGACGGAGCAACGCCGCGUGAGUGAUGAAGGUUUUCGGAUCGUAAAACUCUGUUGUUAGGGAAGAACAAGUACCGUUCGAAUAGGGCGGNACCUUGACGGUACCUAACCAGAAAGCCACGGCUAACUACGUGCCAGCAGCCGCGGUAAU